UACGGAGGGAGCUAGCGUUGUUCGGAAUUACUGGGCGUAAAGCGCACGUAGGCGGCUUUCUAAGUCAGGGGUGAAAUCCCGGGGCUCAACCCCGGAACUGCCCUUGAAACUGGAUGGCUAGAAUCCUGGAGAGGCGAGUGGAAUUCCGAGUGUAGAGGUGAAAUUCGUAGAUAUUCGGAAGAACACCAGUGGCGAAGGCGACUCGCUGGACAGGUAUUGACGCUGAGGAGCGAAAGCAUGGGGAGCGAACAGG
rnacentral:rRNA from 1 species